rnacentral:rRNA from 1 species
GCGAGCGUGGGGGCCGGAGUCGCGGAAAAACGAAAGAUCCGAGCGGUUGACGGAUUUAAUGGGUUUAAAGGGUGCGUGUGCGGACUUGUAAGUCAGUGGUGAAAGCCUGCAGCUUAACGGUAGAAUUGCCAUUGAAACUGAUUGUCUCGAGUGCGGUUGAGGUCACUGGAAUGUAUCAUGUAGCGGUGAAAUGCUUAGAUAUGAUACAGAACACCGAUUGCGAAGGCAGGUGACUAAACCGUAACUGACGCUGAGGCACGAAAGCGUGGGGAUCAAACAGGAUUAGAUACCCCAGUAGUC